GAUAUGAAUUUUUGCCAUAAUACCUUUAACAACUUGGCGUGGAUUUAAUUCACAAAAUCCAGGUAAAAAAACACGAAAACGGCGGUGAAAUUUCAAGAAAGAAGACGUUCAUUUGAGCUACCAUCCUCAAUCCGACGCCACGCGAAAUGAAACGGCUGACAGAACAGCUGAUAUGGCCAUGAAAAUGAUUCGGAGUUGUUUAUUUCUCCUCUAGAUGUCUUGAAAAUAUGCAGUAGUGGUUAAGGCACCACCCACUUCGAAACCAAACUUGAAACCCUCCCACCUCUCCAUAAGCGAAGUAAGCCCGAAUUUUGACUUGGAAUUCGAUGAAAACUCAAUUUUCUUUUUUAAAAUAUUAGUCGAAAUAUUAACGAAUAAAAUAUUACUUUUCCCGCACAUUAGGCGGCUUUUGAAUAAAAUGAAAUCAAAGUGGUUUUAUUGCAACCACUUUGAAUUUGAAUAACUCAUCAACUAUUUCUUCCAAGUCACAUUGAAGAAAAUUUUCGACAUUGUCUUUGAAUUUUGAAUCCAAAUCAUGUAAUUUUGUAACAACGUGUUUACUGGGGGAAAAAAAAUGAAAAGUCGGGCUUAUUUUCUAACAUGAUUUGACCGAACUUUCUACUAGAUGGCGGUGCCAGCAACAGUACUUUUCCAAACAAUGGGCAAAAUUAGUUUGUCAAACAGUUCGUCUGGUCUAUUAAUAAUUAAUCUGCUUCAAGACUCGCAUAGAAGCCUUACUUUCAUUGUUUAAUUUUUAACAAUGUUGGUAGUGAAACACAACUUUGUUGUGGCCUUAUGAGAAACCAAGAUCCCUUUCCCAAAUGGAAAGAGACAUUGCUGGACAGGAACAUGUCUACUAAACACAUUGUGAUCUUAUGCAACUGAUUAUAGCUUGUUUCUAAUCUUACUAAAUGUUUCCCAGAUAUAGAUUAAUAAUUGUAGGAAAUUAAAAGAAAUGGUGUUCAUUAAAUAUUUUGAACCUUUUCCUUGAGAAAACUCAUCAUCAGGCUCUUGCAGUUAUAUCAUAGUUAUCUACCUUGUGGCAACCAAUUGUGGCACUUGCGUAGUUGACUGCAGCUUAUUGUAUUUAUAGCCUAUGAAAAGAAGAUCAAUACAAGGAUUAUGGAACAACAAA